UACGUAGGUGGCGAGCGUUGUCCGGAAUUACUGGGUGUAAAGGGCGUGUAGGCGGGAAUGUAAGUCAGAUGUGAAAUGCCGGAGCUUAACUCCGGACCUGCAUCUGAAACUAUAUUUCUUGAGUACUGGAGAGGAAAGUGGAAUUCCUAGUGUAGCGGUGAAAUGCGUAGAUAUUAGGAGGAACACCAGUGGCGAAGGCGACUUUCUGGACAGUAACUGACGCUGAGGCGCGAAAGCGUGGGGAGCAAACAGG
rnacentral:rRNA from 1 species